rnacentral:rRNA from 1 species
UGGUCAAGUUAUUAAGGGUGCAGGGCGGAUGCCUUGGCACUAGGAGCCGAUGAAGGACGUGAUAAGCUGCGAUAAGCUUCGGGGAGUUGCACGUAAACUUUGAUCCGAAGAUUUCCGAAUGAGGAACCUCACUUAGAGUAAUGUCUAAGUAUCAUUAAGUGAAUACAUAGCUUAAUGAGGGG